rnacentral:rRNA from 1 species
GACGAACGCUGGCGUCGUGCUUAACACAUGCAAGUCGAACGGUAAGGCCCUGCUUUUGUGGGGUGCUCGAGUGUCGAACGGGUGAUUAACACGUGAGUAACCUGCCCUUGACUUUGGUAUAACUUCAGGAAACUGUGGCUAAUACCGGAUAGGAGCUCCUGCUGCAUGGUGGGGGUUGGAUAGUUUCGGCGGUUGGGGAUGGACUGGCGGCUUAUCAGCUUGUUGGUGGGUUAGUGGCUUACCAAGGCUUUGACGGGUAGCCGGCCUGAGAGGGUGACCGGCCACAUUGGGACUGAGAUACGGCCCAGACUCCUACGGGAGGCAGAAGUGGGGAAUAUUGAACAAUGGGCGGAAGCCUGAUGCAGCAACGCCGCGUGCGGGAUGACGGCCUUCGGGUUGUAAACCGCUUUCGCCUGUGACGAAGCGUGAGUGACGGUAAUGGGUAAAGAAGCACCGGCUAACUACGUG